GCCGGGUCCUCGCGGAUUUGUCUUCUUAUUUUCGUUGGAGGGUUUUGACCUUUCUAUGUGUGAGAAACUGGAUGAGAGCAACUCCAGAAACAAAGUUUUGGAACUAACAUCCAGUCGUUCUCGUUAGUAAUUCCUUCGAUUCGUCACAAUGAGGGCACUGCACAGCCAAAGAAAAGAAGCAGAUACGGUCAAGAAAAAGUUUCUCAGCUUGAGAACUGGAAUGCUAUUCAUGAUGGAAUGUUCACUAGUUUCCAAGAGUCGCUUGUUCCUGGUAUGAACUGUGGAGCGUGCAGUGUUCCAUUGUUAUCCGUGUAUCGAUGUGAUGACUGUUAUGUUGGCUUCUUUCUUUGCGGCAGCUGUGUUGAAGAAGUGCAUAAACACACAUUGUUUCACCAACCAUACAAAUGGCAGGACGAUAUCAUCGAUUGAAUUUCCAGUUUUGCCUCUGUGAACCAGAGUCUGUUACCCUGAUACUUCAUCACCUGUGGCCUUCGUCUCCAAAGAAACCACGCAUGUGUUUUCAUUUCCACUUCAUGGAUUUGCUGCGGGUAAUAUCUUAUAGUAUCUUCAAGGAACAAUUCUUAUCAUGGACUUCUGUAAAGC